UCCGGUUUGACACCGGCAGUCUCGUUAGAGUCCCCGACAUGACUCGCUGGCAACUAACGAUAGGGGUUUCGCUCGUUAAGGGACUUAACCCGACACUUCACAGCACGAGCUGACGACAGCCAUGCAGCACCUGUGUACGUUCCACGUAAAACGCGUCACUCGACUUUCACCGAGCUAAUCCGUACAUGUCAAACCCUGGAUAAGGUUCUUCGCGUUGCUUCGAAUUAAGCCACAUGCUCCACCGCUUGUGUGAGCCCCCGUCAAUUCCUUUGAGUUUUAGCCUUGCGACCGUACUCCCCAGGCGGUGUACUUAACACUUUAGCUUCGGCCGAGAUGGCGUCAAAACCUCCUCGACCUAGUACACAUCGUUUAGGGCGUGGACUAC
rnacentral:misc_RNA from 1 species